AGACCCGAAACCCGGUGAUCUAGCCAUGGGCAGGUUGAAGGUUGGGUAACACUAACUGGAGGACCGAACCGACUAAUGUUGAAAAAUUAGCGGAUGACCUGUGGCUGGGGGUGAAAGGCCAAUCAAACCGGGAGAUAGCUGGUUCUCCCCGAAAGCUAUUUAGGUAGCGCCUCGUGAAUUCAUCUCCGGGGGUAGAGCACUGUUUCGGCUAGGGGGCCAUCCCGGCUUACCAACCCGAUGCAAACUGCGAAUACCGGAGAAUGUUAUCACGGGAGACACACGGCGGGUGCUAACGUCCGUCGUGAAGAGGGAAACAACCCAGACCGCCAGCUAAGGUCCCAAAGUCAUGGUUAAGUGGGAAACGAUGUGGGAAGGCCCAGACAGCCAGGAUGUUGGCUUAGAAGCAGCCAUCAUUUAAAGAAAGCGUAAUAGCUCACUGGUCGAGUCGGCCUGCGCGGAAGAUGUAACGGGGCUAAACCAUGCACCGAAGCUGCGGCAGCGACGCUGAUGCGUUGUUGGGUAGGGGAGCGUUCUGUAAGCCUGUGAAGGUGGCCUGUGAGGGUUGCUGGAGGUAUCAGAAGUGCGAAUGCUGA
rnacentral:rRNA from 1 species